rnacentral:rRNA from 1 species
AUACGGAGGAUGCGAGCGUUAUCCGGAUUUAUUGGGUUUAAAGGGUGCGUAGGCUGUGCGUUAAGUCAGGGGUGAAAUGCCGUCGCUCAACGACGGAGCUGCCCUUGAUACUGGCGUGCUGGAGUACGGAUGCCGUUGGAGGAAUGAGUGGUGUAGCGGUGAAAUGCUUAGAUAUCACUCAGAACACCGAUUGCGAAGGCAUCUGACGAAUCCGUCACUGACGCUGAGGCACGAAAGCGUGGGGAUAGAACAGGAUUAGAUACCCUGGUAUUCCACGCCGUAAACGAUGAUGACUAACCGUCGGCGAUAGACAGCCGGUGGCCAAGCGAAAGCGAUAAGUUAUCCACCUGGGGAGUACGUUCGCAAGAAUGAAACUCAAAUGAAUUGGCGGGG